AUACGGAGGGUGCGAGCGUUGUUCGGAAUUAUUGGGCGUAAAGAGCAUGUAGGCGGUCUGUUAAGUCUGGUGUGAAAGCCCGGGGCUCAACCCCGGAAGUGCAUUGGAUACUGGCAGACUUGAGUAUGGGAGAGGAAAGCGGAAUUCCGAGUGUAGGAGUGAAAUCCGUAGAUAUUCGGAGGAACACCAGUGGCGAAGGCGGCUUUCUGGACCAAUACUGACGCUGAGAUGCGAAAGCGUGGGUAGCAAACAGGAUUAGAAACCCUAGUAGUCC
rnacentral:rRNA from 1 species